ACAGUCACACAUUAGAUACCCCUGUAGUCCUAGGCGUAAAUGAUGCGAGUUAAGUNUGGGGGCAUCUACGAGAUGGCCCUGUGCUGUAGGGUAGCCGUUAAACUCGCUGCCUGGGAGUACGGUCGCAAGGCUGAAACUUAAAGGAAUUGGCGGGGAGCACCACAAGAGGUGGAGGCUGCGGUUCAAUUGGACUCAACGCCGGAAAACUCAUCGGGAGCGACAGCAGUAUGAUUGCCAGGUUGAUGACCUUGCUUGACAAGCUG
rnacentral:rRNA from 1 species